GGGGGGGGGGGGGGGGGGGCGUGGCGGGGGGGGGGGGAACGGCAGCCCGGUCAGGGGUUGCUCUUACGGGUGGCGCGUGGCGGACGGGUGGGGAAUGCAUCGGCAUCUACUUUUUCGUGGGGGAGACGGUCUGGAAACUUACGCUCCUACAGGAUACGACCUCCGGCUUCAAGCAGGGGAUAUUCGGACCUUGCGCGAUUGGCUGACCCGAUGUCGGAUUAGCUAGUUGGCGGGGUUACGGCCCACGCAGGCGACGAUCCGUAGCUGGUCUGAGAGGAUGAUCAGCCACACUGGAACUGAGACACGUGCCAGACUCCUACGGGAGGCAGCAGUGGGGAAUAUUGGACAAUGGGCGCAAGCCUGAUCCAGCCAUACCGCGUGGGUGAAGAAGGCCGUCGGGUUGUAAAGCCCUUUUGUUGGGAAAGAAAAGCAGCAGGUUAAUACCCCGCUGUUCUGACGGUACCCAAAGAAUAAGCACCGGCUAACUUCGUG
rnacentral:rRNA from 1 species